AGGACGAACGCUGGCGGCGUGCUUAACACAUGCAAGUCGAGCGGAAAGGCCCUUCGGGGUACUCGAGCGGCGAACGGGUGAGUAACACGUGAGCAACCUGCCCUUAGCUUCGGGAUAGCUCCGGGAAACCGGAAUUAAUACCGAAUAUGAUUUUUGCUGACAUCAGCAGAAGUGGAAAGUUUUUCGGCUAGGGAUGGACUCGCGGCCUAUCAGCUAGUUGGUGAGGUAACGGCCCACCAAGGCGACGACGGGUAGCCGGCCUGAGAGGGCGACCGGCCACACUGGGACUGAGACACGGCCCAGACUCCUACGGGAGGCAGCAGUGGGGAAUAUUGCGCAAUGGGCGAAAGCCUGACGCAGCGACGCCGCGUGGGGGAUGAAUGCCUUCGGGUUGUAAACCCCUUUCAGCAGGGACGAAGCGAAAGUGACGGUACCUGCAGAAGAAGCGCCGGCUAACUACGUGCCAGCAGCCGC
rnacentral:rRNA from 1 species